CCCUUAGAUGUUCUGGGCCGCACGCGCGCUACACUGAUUCAUGCAACAAGUUUUGUCCUUGGCUGAUAGGCCUGGGUAAUCUUUGAACGUGAAUCGUGAUGGGGAUAGAUGAUUGCAAUUAUUCAUCUUCAACGAGGAAUUCCUAGUAAACGCAAGUCAUCAGCUUGCAUUGAUUACGUCCCUGCCCUUCGUACACACCGCCCGUCGCACCUACCGAUUGAAUGGUCCGGUGAAAUCUUCGGAUCUGAGAGAUGUCUGAUUAAUUUCGGACGCCUUUUGGAAAAGUUGUUUAAACCUUACCAUUUAGAGGAAGGUGAAGUCGUAACA
rnacentral:rRNA from 1 species